rnacentral:rRNA from 1 species
UACGAAGGGGACUAGCGUUGUUCGGAUUUACUGGGCGUAAAGCGCGCGUAGGCGGAUCGCUAAGUCAGGGGUGAAAUCCCAAGGCUCAACCUUGGAACUGCCUUUGAUACUGACGAUCUGGAGAUCGGGAGAGGUGAGUGGAAUUCCGAGUGUAGAGGUGAAAUUCGUAGAUAUUCGGAAGAACACCAGUGGCGAAGGCGGCUCACUGGACCGGUAUUGACGCUGAGGUGCGAAAGCGUGGGGAGCAAACAGGG